rnacentral:rRNA from 1 species
UACGAAGGGUGCAAACGUUGCUCGGAAUCAUUGGGCGUAAAGCGCACGUAGGCGGCUUCGCAAGUCGGAUGUGAAAUCCCUCGGCUCAACCAAGGAAGUGCACCCGAAACUGCGGAGCUUGAGUACUGAAGAGGAUCGCGGAAUUCCCGGUGUAGAGGUGAAAUUCGUAGAUAUCGGGAGGAACACCAGUGGCGAAGGCGGCGAUCUGGGCAGAUACUGACGCUGAGGUGCGAAAGCGUGGGGAGCAAACAGG